rnacentral:tRNA from 1 species
GUCGGAGUAGUUUAAGCACUAAAACAUGGCCCUGAAGAAGCUAAAAUGGUAUUUAUGCCCACCGACA